rnacentral:rRNA from 1 species
UACGUAGGGGGCAAGCGUUGUCCGGAAUCAUUGGGCGUAAAGCGCGUGUAGGCGGCCCGAUAAGUCCGCUGUGAAAGUCCAGGGCUCAACCCUGGGAUGCCGGUGGAUACUGUCGGGCUCGAGUCCGGGAAGAGGAGUGUGGAAUUCCUGGUGUAGCGGUGAAAUGCGCAGAUAUCAGGAGGAACACCAAUGGCGAAGGCAGCUCGCUGGGACGGUACUGACACUGAGACACGAAAGCGUGGGGAGCAAACAGG